rfam:Schistosoma rodhaini strain Burundi genome assembly, scaffold: SROB_scaffold0006581
AUCCAGCUGACGAGUCCCAAAUAGGACGAAGUGUGAGUCCUGGAU